CGGUAAUACGGAGGAUGCAAGCGUUAUCCGGAAUUAUUGGGCGUAAAGCGUCCGCAGGUGGCUAAUCAAGUCUGCUGUUAAAGACAGAAGCUCAACUUCUGAGCAGCGGUGGAAACUGGAGAGCUAAAAUACGGUAGGGGUUGAGGGAAUUCCCAGUGUAGCGGUGAAAUGCGUAGAUAUUGGGAAGAACACCAGUGGCGAAGGCGCUCAACUGGGCCGUAACUGACACUGAGGGACAAAAGCUAGGGGAGCGAAAGGGAUUAGAUACCCCUGUAGUCCUAGCUGUAAACGAUGAACACUAGGCGUUGCUUGUAUCGACCCAAGCAGUGCCGUAGCCAACGCGUUAAGUGUUUUGCCUGGGGAGUACGCACGCAAGUGUGAA
rnacentral:rRNA from 1 species